rnacentral:misc_RNA from 1 species
AACGUAGGAGGCAAGCGUUAUCCGGAGUUACUGGGCGUAAAGCGCAAGUAGGCGGUUAAUCAAGUUGCGUGUGAAAGCUCCCGGCUAAACUGGGAGAGGACACGUAAGACUGGUUGACUAGAGUCCGAUAGAGGGGUGUAGAAUUCCGGGUGUAGCGGUGAAAUGUGUAGAGAUCCGGAGGAAUACCAGUGGUGAAGACGGCACCCUGGGUCGGGACUGACGCUGAGAUGCGAAAGCGUGGGGAGCGAACGGG